rnacentral:rRNA from 1 species
UACGUAGGGUGCGAGCGUUGUCCGGUAUUAUUGGGCGUAAAGAGCUUGUAGGCGGUUUGUCGCGUCUGCCGUGAAAAUCCGGGGCUCAACCCCGGACUUGCGGUGGGUACGGGCAGACUAGAGUGUGGUAGGGGAGACUGGAAUUCCUGGUGUAGCGGUGAAAUGCGCAGAUAUCAGGAGGAACACCGAUGGCGAAGGCAGGUCUCUGGGCCACUACUGACGCUGAGAAGCGAAAGCGUGGGGAGCGAACAGG